rnacentral:rRNA from 1 species
CGGGUGAGUAACGCGUGGGGAAUCUGCCUUUGAGCGGGGGACAACAUUUGGAAACGAAUGCUAAUACCGCAUAAAAACUUUAAACGCAAGUUUUAAGUUUGAAAGAUGCAAUUGCAUCACUCAAAGAUGAUCCCGCGUUGUAUUAGCUAGUUGGUGAGGUAAAGGCUCACCAAGGCGAUGAUACAUAGCCGACCUGAGAGGGUGAUCGGCCACAUUAGGACUGAGACACGGCCCAAACUCCUACGGAAGGCAGCAG